UGUGACAUUGCACACCAUAUGUUUUAUGGGAAUAUACUUAUGAGUGUAAAUACAAUGUAACUGGACAGGGUCUCUGGGACAGAACCCACCACAGUGGAG